rnacentral:rRNA from 1 species
AUUGAACGCUGGCGGCAUGCCUUACACAUGCAAGUCGAACGGCAUCGCGGGAAAGCUUGCUUUCCUGGCGGCGAGUGGCGAACGGGUGAGUAACACAUCGGAACGUACCGGCUAGUGGGGGAUAACCCGUCGAAAGACGGGCUAAUACCGCAUACGCUCUUCGGAGGAAAGCAGGGGACCUUUGGGCCUUGCGCUAACCGAGCGGCCGAUGUCCGGUUAGCUAGUUGGUGGGGUAAAGGCCUACCAAGGCGACGAUCGGUAGCGGGUCUGAGAGGACGAUCCGCCACCCUGGGACUGAGACACGGCCCAGACUCCUGCGGGAGGCAGCAGUGGGGAAUCUUGGACAAUGGGGGCAACCCUGAUCCAGCAAUGCCGCGUGGGUGAAGAAGGCCUUCGGGUUGUAAAGCCCUUUCGGCAGGGAAGAAAUCGGCGGGGCGAAUAACCCUGCUGGAUGACGGUACCUGCAGAAGAAGCACCGGCUAACUACGUG